rnacentral:misc_RNA from 1 species
CCGAGAGCGGGCCCCCAAUCCGGGGCCCAACCUCCCACCCGUGUCUACCACAUCCCGUUGCUUUGGCGGGCCCGUCCGCCGUGGGCCGUCCGGGGGUGCUCCUGCCCCCGGGCCUGCGCCCGCCGGAGACUCGCUGCAUGAACCCUGUUUGAACGUGGCCGUCUGGGUGUUUAGAAAUUUUUUA